CCCGACGCGCUCGAUCGGAGCUCCGACGCCUACGCGCGCAACAUCGCCGCCGUCGGCGGCCUCCUCUCCGACCUGUGCUCCCGCGUCUCCCAGGUGCUGGGUGGAGGAGGCGCGGGGGCGGUGAAGCGGAACGAAGGACGGGGGAAGCUGCUCCCCAGGGACUGUAUCGACCGCCUGCUCGGACCCAGGGCCUUCUUCCUCGAGCUCUCUCAGAUUCUAGCCUUCAUUCUUUAAAAUUUGGGUGUACAUGAGCUCUAGGAAGAAGAAUCCCGAAGAAAACCCACUCGCACCAAUCCAUUUUAGCUCACAUGAGCUAGUUAUGUGUAUAUUUAGUUGUAUUUUAUAGCUGAGUACCAUAUUUGUACUAUGUGUGAUUUUAGUGUACUUUGCGUGUUGUUGUAUGAAAUAUUAUGCCUUAUUGUC